GGAUCACUCGGCUUCGGUAGUUCGGUCGAUGUGGUAAAUCUGUGCAGAAGCUCUACAAGGAGAGAAAAUUCCAGUAAAAUCUACUAUGGCGCCACAGCAGCAAGUGAUAGAAAAAAGGAGUAAAAAGCUUAUUGAGG